rnacentral:rRNA from 1 species
CCUACGGGUGGCAGCAGUGGGGAAUAUUGGACAAUGGGCGAAAGCCUGAUCCAGCCAUGCCGCGUGUGUGAAGAAGGCCUUCGGGUUGUAAAGCACUUUCAGUGGGGAAGAAAGCCUUGGGGCUAAUACCCUCGAGGAAGGACAUCACCCACAGAAGAAGCACCGGCUAACUCCGUGCCAGCAGCCGCGGUAAUACGGAGGGUGCGAGCGUUAAUCGGAAUUACUGGGCGUAAAGCGCGCGUAGGCGGUCUGAUAAGCCGGUUGUGAAAGCCCCGGGCUCAACCUGGGAACGGCAUCCGGAACUGUCAGGCUAGAGUGCAGGAGAGGAAGGUAGAAUUCCCGGUGGAGCGGUGAAAUGCGUAGAGAUCGGGAGGAAUACCAGUGGCGAAGGCGGCCUUCUGGACUGACACUGACGCUGAGGUGCGAAAGCGUGGGUAGCAAACAGGAUUAGAUACCCCAGUAGUC